CUGACUGUGGUUUUUCUUCUCUUCUUCUUUUCUCUCCUUUUUCUUGCAGGAUGUUAUGAGAACAGGCGUCGAUUUGCAGAGGGGAGUGAGAUGGAGGGAGGGGAUAUGUUAAGUGAUGGAGAGAAGCGGUCUGAUCGAAGGAGAUUUUUAGAGGAGAAAGUGAAAAAAGAAGUUACACAAAGAUGAAAAUGAGACUGCAAAGAGGACAUGGUUGGCUAUUAGCCCCAAGUCCACUUGACAACCAUUAUCUUUUAAAGUAAAAAUCUGAAUUGUAAUUUCUUUUAGCUCCAGUUUUGAUGCAUGGUAAAGGGCUACUUUGUAACGAUCAUCAGCACAUAACCCGAAAUUUAAAUACAUAUUUACAUGUACAUAUUUGUCAAAUCAGAUUGUAUAAAGAAAUGUAUCAUUCUACAAACGUACAUUAGACCUUGAUAUAUGACCCCGAUUCUAAGGGCCUCAAACAAUGUCCAGUCUUCACAGUGUGUAUCUCGUCCUCACAGAUAAUGGAUUUAUUCAUUUGUUGGAUACAGUAUCUUUCAAAACACUCAAGGUCGCCACAUAACGGCAACGGAAAAACAUCAAGCCGUUCGACAAAUCAUUUAGAGCACAAGAUAAGUGGUAAAGACAACGGGCUAUCUGCCACAGUCGAGGACAAGCAACUGCACAGGACACACUGAGCAGAAGGAUUGUGAAGUCAAUCGAGAAUUGGAGCCAGGAUGUUUGUCUAAAAGUGAGGUGGUCACAAUGUUUCUGUUCAUUCAUGUCAAAUAAAUAAGAGCUGUUGUACGGCAGCACAUCUCCCCCAGCUGAUAAAGUCAGAAGUACUGUGGUCUUGAGUUACUAAGUGAAUAGUUAUCAUUAGCUUUUAUUACAGUUGUAUUACAACGUUAUGAAUGUCUACAUGUGUGUGUGGUAAAGGAGGACAAAAUUGUACCUGUUAAUAUUUCUAUGACAUGACAGAUUGUGUAUGUUCUGCGUAUUCGUAUCAUACUUCUCUGUUCCAGGCCGCACUACAAAUCUUCUGAAAGGGGCCACGGUCGCACAGGAAGCAUCUGGUCAAAACAAAACCGCCGCCAGCUGGGUUAAAGAGCAGCACAAAGGGGCCUGGGCACUGAGGAAGCUGAUGAAGGAAAUCGUUUUGAAUGCGAGGGGCUGGACUACUACUGCAGUCCUAUUGUCGGCCAUCUGUAAGUGUGCCUCUUACACACACAUACACACACACACACAACCUUCUGGGCACGAGCCAGACGGUGGUGUCAAUAGACUUGUUGGGGGGAUGGGCCGUGUCAACCGUUGAAAGGAAUUAUGUUCUCCAGGGGUCGCUCCGUGGCCUUUGCUAAGGAAGGAGUUACGGUGUUGAGAGGCCAUUUAAGGAAAGGGAAUUUGUUUUCCGUUGGUGCAUGGAAGGGAAAGUUUUGUCGUUGGGAAUUGAGAGAUGCGGGUUGAGAGAAAUUCUGGAGCGACUCUUGUUCUCCAAACCAUUUUGGAAGAGUACAAUGAGCAUCUGGUUUUAAUCACUGCACAAAUCUCCUGGCCCCAAAGGUUUUUUUGUUUGUUCAUUGCUUUGUGUUGCUUCACUUUUGUGUCGGUGUUUGUGACAGACAAAUCUAUAGUAACGUGAGGUUUUAUACCAUCUAUUAAGAGUGAAACACUUGAAACUUACUGAAUCUGCUCCCUCAGAAUGGGGCUUGAUCAAACAUCAUUCGAGUGACCUGUCCACACAAGGAAAAGACGUCAACCAACUGCCGUCGCAUUUGAAUUCAAACGAUGCUAAAAAAGCAUCAUCGGAGCUCAGUGGUGACAUCACCUUUUUUUCCCAACUGAGCACAUGCUCUUACACUGACACCACUCCACCCUGUAGCCAAUUCUUUACCAUGGCAACUCGCAGUGUUGCAACAAAAAUAAAGCCGAGCAAAAGCGACUCCCCCCAAAAUGCAUUUUCUCUCCCGACAGAGAACCAUUAUCAAAAAAAGGCCUCUGUACAACUGUUAUCACGAAACCUCUGACUGCAAACAAGUGUCUUAUUUACUCCUUCCAUAAUGAGUUUUUAACAUGCAGAGGUUUUAUUUCAGGUUUUAUAUUUGUAAAAUGUUUCCCAGAGUGAAGAGAAAAAGUUAUUAUAUGUACGGUUUUGGAGCCUACUGGGCCUGAACAGGCUUAAUUAAUUGUCAUAGUAUAACUAACUUUGGCAGAAGAUUUUGUGUUCAUGUAGAAAUUGGAUCCCUCAUAUAGCCACAAACUGACCAGGUGCUUCUGUGAGAGGUUUUGGAAAUGUACAGAUCAGAACACUGAGUGACAAAUCAUGGAACUUUAUUCUGCCUUGACGCUCUGUAUAAAAGGUGCAAACACGAAAAUGGAGGGCGUCGUUGUUCCGGAAAUAAUUCGGCAGAGGAGGUUGUCACGUGCGUUAAAAAAAAAAGAAGAAAAAAAAAGGGAGCCAGCAAAGCAGACAGGGGUGCGACGUCUUGAUAAUGUAUGUGACCUGCCACCGCGGGAUAUAAAUGUCUCUGAGGGAACACUUAGCGGCUAACCAACAGGAACCAAGAUGGUACCUCAAAGAGUAGUGGCGGUAAAAGAUCGACUGAUAUCAGAAAAGCUUUUCUUAGGAAAAGGCUCAGGUGACAAACAAACGGAAGAGCUUGGGUUAAAAAAUUCCACAAGGUUAACUACCAUGACGGCAGAGGUGAUGGAGGACAGUUGGAAUGGCCAUUCGAUUCGGGGUGGGGGGGCAGCUACUCUGUUAACCCAGUUGCUCUACUGAGCAGAAUGGAGGAGGAAUUUUGAAGGGGAGAUCACACUCAAAUGGAAAGGCCCACGAUGACAAGGUGAGGAGAGAGGUACAAGAGGCAGGGAGGGAGGGAGGCUGACAGACGGGAGCUGCCACAGUAGAUGAAUGUCUCGGGCAACGUGUUUUGAGAGAUUCAGCGAGGGAUGCCGAGUCAGGCAUCUCUUCGGCGGGACCUGAUUUCACGCAUUCCGGCUCCUGCGCCGCAGAACUCAACUUCCACAUGACAGUGCCCCGCUGCCGCGCCUCAAAUGCAGAAUUAUUCCCCGCCAGCACACACACCCAGUGACUACCUCAGCUGUAGCGGCGGCACGACUAAUUCGACCCAGCUACUUCCUGAUCCUUCAUCCGGCAGCUGGACCGAUUGUACAGUUACGUUUUGCCUUUUCAUUUUGCAACAUGUUCAUUGGCACGGUCAACAGUUAUUACUUGUGAACACUGUUCUGCCCUUAUUUUGUCAUUUUUUUUGUCUUUUGUCUUUUUUUUCUUUUCACAACAUUUUGAAAAUUUUUGUAUUUUAAUGUGUGAUGUCCCUCCCACUCCCUCUUUUUUAUUUAUUUUUUAUUUUUUAGAUCUUACAGACUCUUAACCUUAUUCAAUCUGUUAACAGGCCCAACGUCAUACAUCGGAGGUGUUGCCCUCAUCUGCUUUUAAUUUGGUGAACAUGCCUGUAACUUAUCCUAAAGCUAGUGGUUUUAAAGAUCCACAGCUCCCUACUCCUAUUCCUAUACCCUUCAACAUCCUCUCGCACCCGCAACACUUGUUCUGCUGCUAGUUGUUCUGUACUACAUCCAUGAAUAAUCCCAUAAUAUCCACUCG
rnacentral:lncRNA from 1 species